rnacentral:rRNA from 1 species
GACGAACGCUGGCGGCGUGCUUAACACAUGCAAGUCGAACGGAAAGGCCCUGCUUGCAGGGUGCUCGAGUGGCGAACGGGUGAGUAACACGUGGGUUAUCUGCCCCUUACUUUGGGAUAAGCCUGGGAAACUGGGUCUAAUACUGGAUAGGACCAUGCUGUAGGUGGUGUGGUGGAAAGAUUAGUUUCGGUAAGGGAUGAGCUCGCGGCCUAUCAGCUUGUUGGUGGGGUAAUGGCCUACCAAGGCGUCGACGGGUAGCCGGCCUGAGAGGGUGGACGGCCACAUUGGGACUGAGAGACGGCCCAGACGCCUACGGGAGGCAGCAGUGGGGAAUAUUGCACAAUGGGCGCAAGCCUGAUGCAGCGACGCCGCGUGGGGGAUGACGGCCUUCGGGUUGUAAACUCCUUUCAGCCAUGACGAAGCCCUUGUGGUGACGGUAGUGGUAGAAGAAGCACCGGCUAACUACGUG